rnacentral:RNase_P_RNA from 1 species
CGGUCUUGGGUGAGGAAAGUCCGGGCUCCACCGGAAAAAUCGCCGGGUAAUAACCGGGCAGAAAGGGGAACUUGUUGGUUGGUUGAAAGAUCAGCAGCAUAAGCCUUUUUUCUGACAGAAAGUGCCACAGAAAAUAUACCGCCUUCGGGUAAGGGUGAAAAGGUGAGGUAAGAGCUCACCGCUGUUCUGGUGACAGGGCAGGCAGGGUAAACCUCGUUUGGAGCAAGGCCAAGUAGCAGUCAGGUUUUCCGGACUAUUGGCUGCGGGUAGGCUGCUAAAGGCUUUUGGCAACAAAAGUUUCGGAUAGAUGGUUAUGCGUGCUUUUCUUUCUUUUGAAAAGUGCAGGACAGAACCCGGCUUAUUAUCUUUUC